UUCAUUUGGACUUGCUGCUUGUAUUGUAGGCGGUAUUACCAUGGUGGCUCUAUGGCCUAUUACUUGCAGACCAUACAGCAAA
rnacentral:ribozyme from 1 species